UACAGAGGGUGCAAGCGUUGUUCGGAAUUAUUGGGCGUAAAGCGCGUGUAGGCGGCUUGGCAAGUCAGAUGUGAAAGCCCUCGGCUUAACCGAGGAAGUGCGUCUGAAACUGCUGAGCUUGAGUCUCGGAGAGGAUGGCGGAAUUCCGCAAGUAGAGGUGAAAUGCGUAGAGAUCCGGAGGAACACCAGUGGCGAAGGCGACACGCUGGGCCGUACCUGACACUGAUGCGCGACAGCAUGGGGAGCAAACAGG
rnacentral:rRNA from 1 species